rnacentral:rRNA from 1 species
AGAUUACGCUGGCGGCGUGCAUAACACAUUCAAGUCGAACGGAUGUAGCAAUACAUUAGUGGCGGACGGGUGAGUAACGCGUGAGCAAUCUACCUCCAGGUGCGGGAUAACAACCGGAAACAGUUGCUAAUACCGCAUGAGAUAGUAACUUCGCAUGGAGAAGCUAUCAAAGGCUUGCUGCCUGGAGAUGAGCUUGCGUCUGAUUAGAUAGUUGGUGAGGUAACGGCUCACCAAGUCAACGAUCAGUAGCCGGACUGAGAGGUUGGACGGCCACAUUGGGACUGAGACACGGCCCAGACUCCUACGGGAGGCAGCAGUGGGGAAUAUUGCACAAUGGGCGAAAGCCUGAUGCAGCGAUGCCGCGUGAGGGAAGAAGGUUUUAGGAUUGUAAACCUCUGUUUUCAGGGACGAUAAUGACGGUACCUGAGGAGGAAGCUCCGGCUAACUACGUG